rnacentral:lncRNA from 1 species
GUGUCUGUUAUAUUGUACUCUCCUAAAUGCUUAGUACAGUGCUCUGCACACAGUAAGCGCUCAAUAAAUAUGAUUGACUUAGCUCACUGUGGGCAAGGAAUGUGUCUACCAACUCUGUUAUGUUGUACUCUUCCAAGCGCUUAAGUUCUCAGUCCUCCACCAUUAACACCAAGUCUAAGAACUCGGGAAUCCAACUGAAUAAGAGACAUCAGUAUAGUGGAUAGAGUAUGGGCUGGGACUCAGAAGGUCGUGGGUUCUAAUCCCCACUCCACUUGUCUGCUGUGUGACCCUGGGCAAGUCAAUUCACUUCUCUGUGCCUCAGUUCCCUCUUCUGUAAAAUAGGGAUCGAGACGGAGCCCCGCGUACGACAGGGAGUGUAUCCAGCCCAGUUUGCUUGUAUCCACCCCAGCGUUUAGUAGUGUCUGGCACAUAGUAAGCGCUUAAAUACCGUCAUUGUUAUUAUCGUCCGGAAAAUUGAGUCUUCUCGGAAAGGAGAUUUAAGUCCCGCAUAAAUAUAAAAACCUAGGAAGACUGGAAAAGCCUACAGUCACCCAGUCGCCCAGCCCUGGAGGCAUAAGGAACUCAAUCCGUGGAAUUUGAGCACAUCCUUAGCGUGUGACAGAUGAAGCAGAAGGCUCUGCUCAUAAUGCUUACUGAUGGUGUGUGGAGGCACCUAAUCUAGUCAGAGCUUGGAUGGAUUCAUCCAUUCCUCUAAGAGCAAGGCAUCUUAGACACGCAUCUACAUCUUAAGUCAGAUAUAAUUUUAUUAAACCUUAGCCACAGGAAAAGUAAUAAAGCCAGGAAGCCUAGCUUGGCAGGAGGAUGCAGCUGGGCCGGCGUUUAUAUGACCGCUCAGUAGACGGGGAUAAAUUGUCCGUUUGCUCCGGGUGACGGGUAAAGCUGAAGAAGGCCAUUCCACUAUCACCUCGCCCAAUCAGAGAAUAUACACUACUGACACAGAAACAAGACGCAGCCUCAACAACCCCCUGCUUCUGGUUUCUCCAAAGGAGCUGAAACUUGGUUGUCAUUUCACUUACAGGUAUCACUUUGGUCCAGAGACGGAUCAGUCACUAGCAGGUCACGGAUUAGUUCCAGUCACCAAGGAGGCUUGGGGCAGAACUCAUCGAACAACCAAAAAAAAAAAAAGCCACUCCAAAUGUAGCCUCUGCAAAAGUGGAAUUUUCAUUCAAACCUUGUAA